rnacentral:lncRNA from 1 species
UCUAUAUAUACUAUCUAACUAGGGGCUAUGUGAUGAUGUUCUAUAGGACCUCCAAUAUGUGCUGACUUUAUAGGAUACAUGCCUUGACUUACAAGGUAAGUUUUUCUACGAGUAGGCUAUAUAGUUAGCUUGGUCUUCAAACUAACAACAUGUGCGACACAUGACUAACUUAUUAACCAUGUUUCUAAUCCAAAAAAUCAAUUAAAGAUACCUAUCAAAUCAAAGUAGCAUCUAUGGAGCUGUCAAGG